GAAACAAACAAAUCUUAAUCGUCUUUCAGGAGCUCAACGCUGCCGUUUUCCAAUCUACCCGGACGCGCGAAUUACUUCUGUUUCUGUGGAAUAUCAUCCAACGGCGUCGUCUCAGUUUUCUACGUUUCAAUUAACAAUUUUCUCGCUCGCAGGCCAGGCACCAGCCAGUUCUCUCUCUCUAGGCAGCUGCUGCUCCAUGGAUUCCGAGACUUCAAGACAGAUACCAGCGACCAUUCCAGCACCAAUCCCUAAAACCCUAGCGCGACCAAACCCAGCCAAAAACAGAGAUUUCCUUAACCACCUCGAAGCUUACCUCGCUAAGCGAGACGGCGUGGACAAGCUCCUUAAGGUCUCACGCUACGCCUCCAAGAUCAUUUUGGCCUCCUCAGCUCUUCCCG
rnacentral:misc_RNA from 1 species